GAUGAACGCUGGCGGCGUGCCUAAUACAUGCAAGUCGAGCGAACGGACGAGAAGCUUGCUUCUCUGAUGUUAGCGGCGGACGGGUGAGUAACACGUGGAUAACCUACCUAUAAGACUGGGAUAACUUCGGGAAACCGGAGCUAAUACCGGAUAAUAUUUUGAACCGCAUGGUUCAAAAGUGAAAGACGGUCUUGCUGUCACUUAUAGAUGGAUCCGCGCUGCAUUAGCUAGUUGGUAAGGUAACGGCUUACCAAGGCAACGAUGCAUAGCCGACCUGAGAGGGUGAUCGGCCACACUGGAACUGAGACACGGUCCAGACUCCUACGGGAGGCAGCAGUAGGGAAUCUUCCGCAAUGGGCGAAAGCCUGACGGAACAACGCCGCGUGAGUGAUGAAGGUCUUCGGAUCGUAAAACUCUGUUAUUAGGGAAGGACAUAUGUGUAAGUAACUGUGCACAUCUUGACGGUACCUAAUCAGAAAGCCACGGCUAACUACGUG
rnacentral:rRNA from 1 species